rfam:Actinoalloteichus sp. GBA129-24, complete genome.
GCCGGUCCUCGGUAGUGGUUCUCGGGACACACGGUCCCGUGGACUUCGAUCGAUGACCGGC